rnacentral:tRNA from 1 species
GCGCCAAUAGCUCAAUGGCAGAGCAACUGACUCUUAAUCAGUGGGUUCGGGGUUCGAGUCCCUGUUGGCGCA